GCAUACCUUCCAUACAAGAGGCGGGAUUUAAUAUUGAAUGAGAAAAAUAUUGAUAUGUUAAUCUAGAGGGAAAUAUUGAAACAACUGUUGAUUCUUUGAAGGAGGAAAAAAAGACAGAGAAACAUGGACUACUAAACUGGUUGAAGUUACGUAAGCGAGAUGGUGGCUGAG